GGGGGUAUGGCGAAAUUGGUAGACGCUGCGGACUUAAAAUCCGUUGACUUUAAAAAUCGUGAGGGUUCAAGUCCCUCUAUCCCCA
rnacentral:tRNA from 2 species